CACGUAGGAGACGAGCGUUAUCCGGAUUUACUGGGUGUAAAGCGCGUGCAGGCGGUUGAGUAAGUUGGGUGUGAAAGCUCCCGGCUUAACUGGGAGAGGUCGUACAAGACUGCUCGACUAGAGGACAGCAGAGGGGAGUGGAAUUCCGAGUGUAGCGGUAAAAUGCAUAGAUAUUCGGAAGAACACCAGUGGCGAAGGCGGCUCUCUGGGCUGUAACUGACGCUCAGACGCGAAAGCUAGGGUAGCAAACGGG
rnacentral:rRNA from 1 species